GAUGAACGCUGGCGGCGUGCCUAAUACAUGCAAGUCGAGCGAACAGACGAGGAGCUUGCUCCUCUGACGUUAGCGGCGGACGUGUGAGUAACACGUGGAUAACCUACCUAUAAGACUGGGAUAACUUCGGGAAACCGGAGCUAAUACCGGAUAAUAUAUUGAACCGCAUGGUUCAAUAGUGAAAGACGGUUUUGCUGUCACUUAUAGAUGGAUCCGCGCCGCAUUAGCUAGUUGGUAAGGUAACGGCUUACCAAGGCAACGAUGCGUAGCCGACCUGAGAGGGUGAUCGGCGACACUGGAGCUGAAACGCGGUCCAGACUCCUACGGGAGGCAGCAGUAGGGAAUCUUCCGCAAUGGGCGAAAGCCUGACGGAGCAACGCCGCGUGAGUGAUGAAGGUCUUCGGAUCGUAAAACUCUGUUAUUAGGGAAGAACAAAUGUGUAAGGAAAUAUGCACGUCUUGACGGUAACUAAUCAGAAAGCCACGGCUAACUACGUG
rnacentral:rRNA from 1 species